rnacentral:tRNA from 1 species
GCGCCACUAGCUCAACAGGUAGAGCAACUGACUCUUAAUCAGUGUGUUCGGGGUUCGAUUCCCCGGUGGCGCAC